AAUGUCGUAACAAGGUUUCCGUAGGUGAACCUGCGGAAGGAUCAUUAAUUGAGAUCAUGCCCCGUCGGGGGUUAGACCUCCCACCCCCAUGUUUCACCGUACCCGGUUGCUUUCGGCGGUCCCGUCGCGAGACGGGCCCGCCAGAGGACCUUUAAAUCCCUGUAUUAUCAUUGUCAUCUGAGUACUAUCAAUAGGUUAAAAC
rnacentral:misc_RNA from 1 species